CUCACCCAGCCGAGGAAUGUGCCCACUUACCGGGAGCCGGCGGCGCUGCCCGCCUCCCGCGCCUCCCCGAAUCCCGAUUCUGAUACCCGAGGCCAAUGCGGGCAGAGCCACCGCGCUCCGGACACGGAUGCCCCCGGGGAGGGGGCCACCUCCAACGAAACCUCGCUCCCCGCCCCUUUCCCUCCAGAUCUGGGUGUCCCCCAGCGCCCACGUGGGAGCUGGGGGCAGCCCUCGAUCCCCUCCAGCUCGGGUCCCCUCCGCCCGGGGCCCUCCCGGGGAGGCAUUCGCACCCGUCAACAGGCACAAUUCAGCGGCGGGGGAGGGGCUGCGGGGUGGCGGGGCCAAGCUGAGCUCCGGGGCCUGACGAGGCUCGAAGAGCCGCGGUCGCCGCCCUCCUCCCGAAAGACACGUUUCCUCUGCUCCCACGCGUGGUCAGCCCAAUCACGGACCUUGCCUCCCUGCCUCCCUCCCUUCCCCCGGGGAGUCCCGUGCGCGCCCCAGCCCACUUCCACAACCGCCACGCCCGGGAGCCGACGGCGGGCACGCGGGGCGGGCGGGGGAGGGGGCAGAGAGCCCAGCUCCGGACAGGAAAGUCCAGGGAGCCUCGCCCACCCUCCUUCCUCUCCCUUCCCCCUCCCUUCCCUUUCUCCCGGCCUACGGCAAGCGGCGAAGACCCUGUCCGGGGUGCGCAAAGGCGAAAAGGGACAGCAGCGGAGGGAGGAAAAUCAGGGAGGGGAGGAAUUGCGCGGUGAGGUCAGCGCCGCGGAGGGGACGGGAGGGGCAGGGCGAGGCGGGGCGGGGAGGAGGGGGGCGGCGGCCAGCCCCUGGAUUGGUUGGCUAGCAGGCUGGCUGGGAGCUUGCGCCCCGAUCCGGCCUGGCUCACGCACCCGGCUCGGGGUGGAGGGGAGGCGGGGAAGGAGGCGGGUAGCUCUGGGUGCUGAGGCGACUGGCGGGCGGGCGGGCAGACGGACGGGGACGAACCGACCGAAUCUCCGGAACCCGCCGCCACCGGAGGCCGGGCGGGGUGCGCGUGCGUGGGAGAGACGGCGGCUGCGCGCGCUGAGGGCGCGGGGUUGGUUGUGUGAGUGCUUGUGUGUGAGGAGCGGCGGCGGCGGCGGCGGCGUCGCGGCUAAGGUGGGGAAGGGGCGGCCUGUGUGA
rnacentral:lncRNA from 1 species